UACGUAGGGGGCAAGCGUUGUCCGGAAUCAUUGGGCGUAAAGCGCGCGUAGGCGGCCCUGUAAGUCCGUUGUGAAAGUCAAAGGCUCAACCUUUGAAAGCCGAUGGAUACUGCAGGGCUAGAGUCCGGAAGAGGCGAGUGGAAUUCCUGGUGUAGCGGUGGAAUGCGCAGAUAUCAGGAGGAACACCAAUAGCGAAGGCAGCUCGCUGGGACGUCACUGACGCUGAGACGCGAAAGCGUGGGGAGCAAACAGG
rnacentral:rRNA from 1 species